UUCAGACAGAUAGGUUACUGACACUUCGUGGGAGGCAUUUAUUGCAAGAAUAACAUUCUUGGAAAAGGCAGAAGUCUUCAGUGGUCCCUUCUUGGAGAAAGGACAUUUCUGGACUUUCUUUAUGCUGGACAGUGAGUUGUUCAUAUAUGUAAUGUUCCUGGUUUGCAAGUUUGCUCCACACAAGAAAUUGGUCCAGGAAAUAUAUGAAAAUGAGGAUGUUCAUGAAGUUCAUUCAAUGUCCAAAACUAAAACUUAGGGAAGACGUUGCAAACACUUCUGGAGACUUGAAACUGGCUUUGAGAAGAUAUCUUGCAAGACGACCUAGGGCCUGGUUUAAAGGGAGCAUGUUCAAACUACAGCAGUUUAAUGAUGCACCUACCUUUUGCAGCGAAAUCUUCCUGUGUAUUGUACAUGCUUUUAAUUCACUGGAUUUGUUUGUAAUUGUAAUUGUUUAAAAAAGGAAAGAAGUCUUAAUUAUAUUUGAUUAUUUUAUUGUAAUAUUUGACCUGUAAACUGAUUAUUUUCAAUCAACAUUUCAUUUUGUUCUUACACAAAUAAUCUGUACAACAUACAUUGAA